UACAGAGGGCGCGAGCGUUAAUCGGAAUUACUGGGCGUAAAGCGCGCGUAGGCGGCUUUGCAAGCCGGAUGUGAAAUCCCCGGGCUUAACCUGGGAACUGCAUUCGGGACUGCAUUGCUAGAGUAUGGGAGAGGGAAGUGGAAUUUCAGGUGUAGCGGUGAAAUGCGUAGAUAUCUGAAGGAACAUCAGUGGCGAAAGCGACUUCCUGGACCAAUACUGACGCUCAUGUGCGAAAGCGUGGGGAGCAAACAGG
rnacentral:rRNA from 1 species